UACAGAGGUCUCAACCGUUGUUCGGAUUCAUUGGGCGUAAAGGGUGCGUAGGCGGUCGCGCCAAGUCGGAUGUGAAAUCUCAGGGCUCAACCCUGAAACUGCAUUCGAUACUGCGUGGCUAGAGUGCUGGAGAGGAGACUGGAAUUUACGGUGUAGCAGUGAAAUGCGUAGAUAUCGUAAGGAAGACCAGUGGCGAAGGCGAGUCUCUGGACAGCAACUGACGCUGAGGCACGAAGGCCAGGGGAGCAAACGGG
rnacentral:rRNA from 1 species